UGCACUCUUUGAAAAUCUUUGCUAGUAGCUAUUGUUUCUGUUCUCUGGAACUUCUUUAAGCCUAGGAUCAGACACGAAGACUAAGCUCUGGGCCCAUGAUCCUAGUUUGUCCCUGAAGUAUGAGGCUGGUGACUGGAGUAACUGUGUUUCUGACCUUGGGGACUGUGAUUGAUGCUCAGACCACCCAGCCCAAUUCCAUGGAUUGUGCAGAAGGAGAAGAUGUAAAAUUGCCUUGUAACCACUCUACCAUCAGUGUGGAUGAUUAUAUACACUGGAAUCGGCAAAAUCCGAGUCAGAGUCCACAGUAUAUAAUUCAUGGCUUACAAGACAAUGUGACCAACAACAAGGCCUCUCUGACCAUCACAGCAGACAGAAAGUCCAGCACUUUGAUCCUGCCCCGGGUCACCUUGAGAGACACUGCUGUGUACUACUGCAUUGUGAGAAAGGCACACUGAGACAGAUGGGGCCGCACCUGUGCAAUAUCUUUCUGGAGGCAAGGGG